UACGAAGGGUGCAAGCGUUACUCGGAAUUACUGGGCGUAAAGCGUGCGUAGGUGGUUUUUUAAGUCCGUUGUGAAAGCCCUGGGCUCAACCUGGGAAUGGCAGUGGAUACUGGAAAGCUAGAGUGCGGUAGAGGGUAGUGGAAUUUACGGUGUAGCAGUGAAAUGCGUAGAGAUCGUAAGGAAGACCAGUGGCGAAGGCGGGUCUCUGGACAGUUCCUGACACUGAGGCACGAAGGCCAGGGGAGCAAACGGG
rnacentral:rRNA from 1 species